rnacentral:rRNA from 1 species
UGGGGAAUAUUGCACAAUGGGCGCAAGCCUGAUGCAGCCAUGCCGCGUGUGUGAAGAAGGCCUUCGGGUUGUAAAGCACUUUCAGCGAGGAGGAAGGUGGUGAGCUUAAUACGCUCAUCAAUUGACGUUACUCGCAGAAGAAGCACCGGCUAACUCCGUGCCAGCAGCCGCGGUAAUACGGAGGGUGCAAGCGUUAAUCGGAAUUACUGGGCGUAAAGCGCACGCAGGCGGUUUGUUAAGUCAGAUGUGAAAUCCCCGGGCUCAACCUGGGAACUGCAUUUGAAACUGGCAAGCUAGAGUCUCGUAGAGGGGGGUAGAAUUCCAGGUGUAGCGGUGAAAUGCGUAGAGAUCUGGAGGAAUACCGGUGGCGAAGGCGGCCCCCUGGACGAAGACUGACGCUCAGGUGCGAAAGCGUGGGGCAGCAAACAGGAUUAGAUACCCUGGUAGUCCAGCGCUGUAAACGAUGUCGAUUUUGGAGGUUGUGCCCUUGAGGCGUGGCUUCCGGAGCUAACGCGUUAAAUCGACCGCC